UACAGAGGGUGCAAGCGUUGUUCGGAAUUAUUGGGCGUAAAGCGCGUGUAGGCGGCAGUGCAAGUCGGGUGUGAAAGCCCUCAGCUCAACUGAGGAAGUGCGCCCGAAACUGCAUUGCUUGAGUACCGGAGAGGAUGGCGGAAUUCCCGAAGUAGAGGUGAAAUUCGUAGAUAUCGGGAGGAACACCGGUGGCGAAGGCGGCCAUCUGGACGGAUACUGACGCUGAGACGCGAAAGCGUGGGUAGCAAACAGG
rnacentral:rRNA from 2 species